GGUAUUGAAAUAAGAUUUUAAUUGAAUGCUAAGAGAAUGGAAUUACAGAAAAUAGCUUUUUUUAAAUUAAAAAUUGAAAUUUUUUUAAUUUGUGCAGAAACAAUUAUUAAUAUUAAGGACAAGAAGACCCUAUGAAUUUAUAAAUUUAUUUUAUAGUAAAUAAUAUAUAAUAAAUUUUGGUUGGGGCGACAAAAAAAAAUAAAAAACUUUUUUUUAAUAAAAUGAUCCAUUAUUAAUGAUUAUAUGAAAAAUACUCUAGGGAUAACAGCGUUAUAUUUUUUGAUAGCUCAUAUUGACAAAAAAGUUUGCGACCUCGAUGUUGGAUUAGGAUGCUUUUUUAAUGAAGAUAU
rnacentral:rRNA from 1 species